AACGAACGCUGGCGGCAUGCCUAACACAUGCAAGUCGAACGGACGGUAGCAAUACCGUUAGUGGCGGACGGGUGAGUAACGCGUGGGAACCUGCCUCGAAGUUCGGAAUAACCGCGGGAAACUGCGGCUAAUACCGGAUGUGGCCUGAGGGUCAAAGGCGCAAGUCGCUUCGAGAGGGGCCCGCGUCCGAUUAGCUAGUUGGUGGGGUAACGGCCUACCAAGGCGACGAUCGGUAGCUGGUCUGAGAGGAUGAUCAGCCACACUGGGACUGAGACACGGCCCAGACUCCUACGGGAGGCAGCAGUGGGGAAUAUUGGACAAUGGGGGAAACCCUGACCCAGCAAUGCCGCGUGGGUGAUGAAGGCCUUCGGUUGUAAG
rnacentral:rRNA from 1 species